GACGAACGCUGGCGGCGUGCCUAAUACAUGCAAGUUGAGCGCUGAAGGUUGGUACUUGUACCAACUGGAUGAGCAGCGAACGGGUGAGUAACGCGUGGGGAAUCUGCCUUUGAGCGGGGGACAACAUUUGGAAACGAAUGCUAAUACCGCAUAAAAACUUUAAACACAAGUUUUAAGUUUGAAAGAUGCAAUUGCAUCACUCAAAGAUGAUCCCGCGUUGUAUUAGCUAGUUGGUGAGGUAAAGGCUCACCAAGGCGAUGAUACAUAGCCGACCUGAGAGGGUGGUCCGCCACAAUGGGACUGGGACACGGCCCAAACUCCUACGGGAGGCAGCAGUAGGGAAUCUUCGGCAAUGGACGAAAGUCUGGCCGAGCAACGCCGCGUGAGUGAAGAAGGUUUUCGGAUCGUAAAACUCUGUUGGUAGAGAAGAAAGUGGGUGAGGGUGGAAAGCUCAUCAAGUGACGGUAACUACCCAGAAAGGGACGGCUAACUACGUG
rnacentral:rRNA from 1 species